ACUCCUACGGGAGGCAGCAGUCGAGGAUCUUCGGCAAUGGGCGCAAGCCUGACCGAGCGACGCCGCGUGAGCGAUGAAGGCCAUUAGGUUGUAAAGCUCUGUCGAGGGGGAACAAGCCGCAAGGUUGAGUGACCCCUGGAGGAAGCACGGGCUAAGUUCGUGCCAGCAGCCGCGGUAAUACA
rnacentral:rRNA from 1 species